rnacentral:RNase_MRP_RNA from 1 species
AUUGUUCUUUCAUGUUGGCUCAAUCUCGUCGCAUCAAAGCUAAUUUACCAAGAGCACGUAACCUCGAAGCUCCGUGCUGCAAUGUGCACAAAGAUAGAUGCCGCAUCCCAAGGAAAAAGAACAGACAAAAUUGCCAUCAUUUCAAUCAAAAAUAAUCACGGAUCGUUAUCUUCAGGGAUUAGCAGCGAUGUGAACGACAGCGCCAUCUUAGAUCAAUUAUAC